rnacentral:rRNA from 1 species
AGCGAACGCUGGCGGCAGGCCUAACACAUGCAAGUCGAACGGAUCCUUCGGGAUUAGUGGCGGACGGGUGAGUAACACGUGGGAACGUGCCCUUUGGUUCGGAACAACUCAGGGAAACUUGAGCUAAUACCGGAUGUGCCCUUCGGGGGAAAGAUUUAUCGCCAUUGGAGCGGCCCGCGUCUGAUUAGCUAGUUGGUGAGGUAAAGGCUCACCAAGGCGACGAUCAGUAGCUGGUCUGAGAGGAUGAUCAGCCACAUUGGGACUGAGACACGGCCCAAACUCCUACGGGAGGCAGCAGUGGGGAAUCUUGCGCAAUGGGCGAAAGCCUGACGCAGCCAUGCCGCGUGAAUGAUGAAGGUCUUAGGAUUGUAAAAUUCUUUCGCCGGGGACGAUAAUGACGGUACCCGGAGAAUAAGUCCCGGCUAACUUCGUGCCAGCCGCCGCAGUAAGAC